rnacentral:ncRNA from 1 species
GAACGCCCAAUGCGGUGAAAGUCGCACGUUAGGUGUGGAGCAGGGGAAAAGAUGGCGAUUACAUCAAAGUCUUACCUAUUGCUAU